rnacentral:rRNA from 1 species
AUUGAACGCUGGCGGCAGGCCUAACACAUGCAAGUCGAGCGCGCGGCGGACGGGUGAGUAAUGUCUGGGAAACUGCCUGAUGGGGGGGGAUAACUCAUGGAAACGGUAGCUAAUACCGCAUACCCUCAGAUGUGCCCCGAUGGGAUUAUCUAGUAGGUGGGGUAACGGCUCACCUAGGCGACGAUCCCUAGCUGGUCUGAGAGGAUGACCCUCCACAAUGGAACUGAGACACGGUCGGGACGCCUACGGGAGGCAGCAGUGGGGAAUAUUGCACAAUGGGUGCAAGCCUGAUGCAGCCAUGCCGGGUGUGUGAAGAAGGCCGGCGGGUUGUAAAGCACUUUCAGCGGGGAGGCGUUACCCGCAGAAGAAGCACCGGCUAACUCCGUGCCAGCAGCCGCGGUAAUUCCUAC